rnacentral:rRNA from 1 species
AUUGAACGCUGGCGGCAUGCCUUACACAUGCAAGUCGAACGGCAGCACGGGGCAACCCUGGUGGCGAGUGGCGAACGGGUGAGUAAUGCAUCGGAACGUGCCCAGUAGUGGGGGAUAACCCGGCGAAAGCCGGGCUAAUACCGCAUACGACCUACGGGUGAAAGCGGGGGACCGUAAGGCCUCGCGCUAUUGGAGCGGCCGAUGUCUGAUUAGCUAGUUGGCGGGGUAAAGGCGCACCAAGGCGACGAUCAGUAGCUGGUCUGAGAGGACGACCAGCAACACUGGGACUGAGACACGGCCCAGACUCCUACGGGAGGCAGCAGUGGGGAAUUUUGGACAAUGGGCGCAAGCCUGAUCCAGCCAUGCCGCGUGCGGGAAGAAGGCCUUCGGGUUGUAAACCGCUUUUGGCAGGAACGAAACGGCGCAAGCUAAUACCUUGCGCUAAUGACGGUACCUGCAGAAUAAGCACCGGCUAACUACGUGCCAGCCGCCGCAGUAACAC